rnacentral:rRNA from 1 species
GCCCGAAUCUAGCCCAACCCCACACAACUAAUUAACACCUAAAAAUUUACUCAAUCACUGAACUAAAGCAUUAUCUAAACUUAGUAUAGGCGAUAGAAAAGACACCUACUGGCGCAAUAGAGAACCGUACCGUAAGGGAAAGAUGAAAUAGUAAUGAAAGACCACAAGCAAUAAAUAGCAAAGAUAAACCCUUGUACCUUUUGCAUCAUGAUUUAGCAAGAACAACCAAGCAGAAUGAGCUUAAGCUUGCCUUCCCGAAACCUAAGCGAGCUACUUACAGGCAGCUAUUUUGAGCGAACCCGUCUCUGUUGCAAAAGAGUGGGAUGACCUGUUAGUAGAGGUGAAAAGCCAACCGAGCUAGGUGAUAGCUGGUUGCCCGUGAAAUGAAUCUAAGUUCUACCUUAGCUUAUCUCCCCUGUCAGUGAACUUCCAACCGAUCACCCUCUAACGUGGAAAGUUAAGAGCAAUUUAAAGGAGGUACAGCUCCUUUAAAAAAGAAUACAACCUCCCUUAGCGGAUAAAAUCCAUUUUUUCCCCAUGUAGGCCUUAAAGCAGCCAUCAAUAAAGAAUGCGUCAAAGCUCGCUUCUCUAAAAAUCUAAAAACAUUAUGACUCCCUUACCCCCAACGGGCUAACCUAUUCCCAUAGGAGAAUUAAUGCUAGAAUAAGUAACUCGAAACUCACUUCUCUCAAGCGCAAGCUUACAUUUUUCCAAAUUAUUAACAGACCAACUAAUACUACAACCUCAACAAGCCUAAGUAUUAACCUCUCUGUUACCCCAACACUUGGAGCGCCUAAUUAAGAAAGAUUAAAAUCUGUAAAAGGAACUAGGCAAACCCAGGGCCCGACUGUUUACCAAAAACAUAGCCUUCAGCUAACCAAGUAUUGAAGGUGAUGCCUGCCCAGUGACACACGUUCAACGGCCGCGGUAUCCUAACCGUGCGAAGGUAGCGCAAUCAAUUGUCUCAUAAAUCGAGACUUGUAUGAAUGGCUAAACGAGGUCCUAACUGUCUCUUGCAGAUAAUCAGUGAAAUUGAUCUUCCUGUGCAAAAGCAGGAAUAAACCCAUAAGACGAGAAGACCCUGUGGAACUUUAAAAUCAGAGGCCACCCCACAAGCAAUACUAAGCCUACUAGGCCUACUACCUCUAAACGCUGGCCCAUAUUUUUCGGUUGGGGCGACCUUGGAGAAAAACAAAUCCUCCAAAAAUAAGACCAUACCUCUUGACCAAGAGCUACACCUCCACGUGCUAAUAGCAACCAGACCCAAUACAAUUGAUUAAUGAACCAAGCUACCCCAGGGAUAACAGCGCAAUCUCCUUCAAGAGCCCAUAUCGACAAGGAGGUUUACGGCCUCGAUGUUGGAUCAGGACAUCCUAAUGGUGCAGCCGCUAUUAAGGGUUCGUUUGUUCAACGAUUAAUAGUCCUACGUGAUCUGAGUUCAGACCGGAGCGAUCCAGGUCGGUUUCUAUCUAUGAUUAACUUCCCCUAGUACGAAAGGACCGGGAAAGUGAGGCCAAUACCACAGGCACGCCUCCCCCCAAGUAAUGAACCCAACUUAAUUACUAAAAGGACACCCACCCUUCAACCCCAGAUAAGGGUCA